GGGACAGGUUAGUAAUGAGGCUAUAUACAGGGGUACUGGUUAGUAAUGAGGCUAUAUACAGGGGUACUGGUUAGUAAUGAGGCUAUAUACAGGGGACAGGUUAGUAAUGAGACUAUAUACAGGGGUACUGGUUAGUAAUGAGGCUAUAUACAGGGGUACUGGUUAGUAAUGAGGCUAUAUACAGGGGACAGGUUAGUAAUGAGACUAUAUACAGGGGUACAGGUUAGUAAUGAGACUAU